rnacentral:lncRNA from 1 species
GGGGCCUCUCCGCUAAUGGCGGGUAGGGGUUUUCCCCGCCGCCUCUGGUAUGUAACUCUGGAGCUUCCCUCUGGGCUUAGGUAUAAUUGUGGGGGGCUUAGGUAGGGCUGUGGUCACCUGUUUCCACCAUCACUCCUCUGGUGUGCGCUCCCUCCUGCCCUUGGUGUGUGGCGAUGUUCUGGGGGCGUCCGCUGGAAGAAAGCCGCUUGCAGGAAAAGAAAGGAAGAAAUAAAAUCCCUUGGAAAUCUAAGUAAACAUAGCAGGAAGAAAUGCACAUAUUCCUGGGAGAAGAAAAGCUACCAUGAACCCUACACUUCCACUCUCUUCUUGGAAGUCACCCACUGCAGAGAAUCACAGGAAACACUCUUACUACUGUCUCCAUAGAAUCAUCUUGGAACACGUUGUGACUUUAAAAUAAGCAUAAUUUUCUGAAAAUCCCAUGGGAGACAUCAGGGAAAGAGAAAAUAGAACUCUAGAGAUAGAUAAAUUCUUUCUUUACAAAGUUAUUAAAUUAUUAAAGUUUCAUGGUAUGCUAUUGCAAGAACAAA